rnacentral:rRNA from 1 species
CAAAUGAAUUGACGGGGGCCCGCACAAGCAGCGGAGCAUGUGGUUUAAUUCGAAGCAACGCGAAGAACCUUACCAGGGCUUGACAUCCCGAUGACCGGUACAGAGAUGUACCUUCCCUUCGGGGCAUUGGAGACAGGUGGUGCAUGGUUGUCGUCAGCUCGUGUCGUGAGAUGUUGGGUUAAGUCCCGCAACGAGCGCAACCCCUAUCCUUAGUUGCCAUCAGUUAAAGCUGGGCACUCUAAAGAGACUGCCGGGGAUAACUCGGAGGAAGGUGGGGAUGACGUCAAAUCAU